UAUGUACUCCGUCCGUCCCAAAAUUCUUGUCUUAGAUUUGUCUCGAUACGGAUGUAUCUAAUACUAAAAUGUGAUUAGAUAGAUCCGUAUCUAGAAAAAUUUAAGACAAGAAUUUUGGGACGGAGGGAGUAGUUA
rfam:Triticum aestivum genome assembly, contig: Triticum_aestivum_CS42_TGACv1_scaffold_558111_7AL